AUCAGAGAGUCUUCUAGCAGGACAACACUCCAGCGGCUCCUCUAUGGUCUUCUCAGACAGGAUAGGAUUGAAAAAGUUAUGGUGUUUGCAGCUGAGGACGUAAUUCCAACAUACCAUCAGUUAUACAUGAGGCUUGCCGUCCUUGGAAUGGAACUGUCUGGGGAAUGCAUCGAUCUUUAUGAGAUAUUUAUCCUGAGAUUUCUGCUCUGGAAUAGGCAGUGUAAAAUAAUGCUUGCUGUGCUUUAAAUUGAAGAAUAUUCUUCACUUCAGAGUGUCCAAAUGUCAAUAAUAAUAUAUUAUAUUUUGUAAGAACAGAAAUAUGUUUUUCUGAGGAUAUUAUGCAUCAAGUGUAAGCUAUAGUACAUCUUGUCAUAUUAAAAAAAAUGAUUG